rnacentral:rRNA from 1 species
UUGCAGGAAUGUAAGGGUGUAUGGUGGAUGCCUAGGCUUCAAGAAGCGAUGAAGGACGUGAUAUGGCUGCGAUAAGCGUGGGGGAGAUGCCAAAUAAUCGUUAUAUCCCACGAUUUCCGAAUGAGGAAACUCACCUGCUUACGGCAGGUACCCUUGUAUGAGGGAGCACACCCAGGGAAGUGAAACAUCACAGUACCUGGAGGAAAAGAAAGCAACAAAAAGGAAUUUUCUUUCUGAUCGGAUCAGUUCUCAAGUUUACUUGUGAAUUGGCCAUUACGGUCAGGAAGAAGAUUCUUGCGAUCCCCUGAGUAGCGGCGAGCGAAACGGGGACAGCCCAAACCAUUCGUGUUUACAUGAGUGGGGUUGUAGGGCAAAAGUUUCAUUUAGUUGAGAAGAGUUACAAAUUGUCUUGAUAACAAAAUGUGCUGGGAAGCACGACCCCAGAGGGUAAUAGUCCCGUAUGUGAAAUCAUGACAACUCUUUUGCUUUUGUUCCUGAGUAGUUCGAGACAUGAAUAGCUCGAAUGAAUCUGCCAGCACUAACUGGUAAGGCUAAAUAUUCUUGAAGACCGAUAGUGAACAAGUACCGUGAGGGAAAGGUGAAAAGAACCCCGGAGAGGGGAGUGAAAUAGAUCUGAAACCAUACAUCUACAAGGAGUCAGCGAGGUGCAUCACUUUGUUCUCAACUGUGAGGAGAAGUGAAAUGACGGAAGAGGAAAAACUUGAUUGGUUGAUGACGAAAAUUGUCAACAUAAUCAUGGAUGAUAGAGAUGGAGGAACUACAACAUUUUGGUUCACGGAUGGAACUACUGCAAAAUUUCAAAAUGAUGCAGUAAAAAAUGCCAUUAAAAAUGGCAAAAUUUCCAAAGAGAACAAUGUAAUGGUUGAGUUCAAAUGACAUCGUAUCUUCCUUAAUCAUUUGUUCUUUAGUCUACCGAAAGGUUGAGACUAAAGUGAUGCACCUCCAUGGCGUGCCUAUUGAAGAAUGAGCCGGCGAGUGUACCUUUGUCCUUUGUCUAAGUGGCAAUCCCACGGAGGCAUAGUGAAAGCGAGCGUGAAUAGCGCGAAAUAAUAGGGCAGGGGUACGACCCGAAGCGGGAUGAGCUUGCCAUGUGCAGGGUGAAGCGAAGGUAAAACUUCGUGGAGGCCCGAACCGGUUGGCCGUUCAAAACCAUCGGAUGACAUGUGGUAGGGAGUGAAAAGCUAAUCGAAUUCCGUAAUAGCUGGUUCUCUCCGAAACAGCUUUAGGGUUGGCGUCGCGUGUUCCUCCUGGGGGUAGAGCACUGGAAGGUUUAAAUAGGGAGAAAUCUCGUUAAACCUAUCAAACUACGAAUACCAGGCAGUUAGAGCGCGGCAGUUAGACUACGGGGGAGAAGCUCCGUUGGUCGAAAGGGAAACAGCCCAGAUCGCCAGUUAAGGUCCCUAAAUAUAUGCUCAGUGCAACUUGAGGAGGUGAGGAUUCUCCGACAAUCAGGAGGUUGGCUUAGAAGCAGCCAUCCUUUAAAGAAAGCGUAACAGCUCACUGAUCGAGAGUCCUUGCGCCGAAAAUGAUCGGGGCUCAAGCAUAUUACCGAAACUGCGGAUUUCAUCUUUCUUCGGAAAGGUGGAGUGGUAGGAGAGCGUUCUGUUCUGCGAUGAAGCUAAAGGUGUAAACCAUAGUGGAGCGUACAGAAGUGAGAAUGCCGGCACAAGUAACCGCAAGACGGGUGAGAACCCCGUCCGCCGAAAUACCGAGGUUUCCUUCGCGAUGCUGAUCAGCGAAGGGUUAGUCGGUCCUAAGCCGAUCCCGACAGGGGGAGGCGAUGGAUAGCAGGUUAAUAUUCCUGCACACUGUUACGUUUCGAUGGAGGGACGGAGCGUUGUACCCAAAGCAUCUUAUUGGAUUGGUGCUGGAGCUACGAGGAUGUUUCUUAGGCAAAUCCGGGAGACACAAGUCCGAGUAGAGUCUGAAUCUGAGGCUACGGCCGAGGAAAUGAGGGGAGCACGUUCUCGAGAAAAACUUCUAAGGUUAAACGUAACGGUUCCGUACCGCAAACCGACACAGGUGGUAGGGUCGAGAAGACCAAGGCGAACGAGUGAGGGGUCCUUAAGGAACUCGGCAAAAAAGCGGCCGUAACUUCGGGAUAAGGCCUGCCCAGUACACCACUUUGUUCUCAACAGAGUGGAGAAGAUCAUGGAUGUGAUCGAAAAAAUCAGAAGAAUUAAUGAGGAUGAAGAUUCUCAGUUGAGUGCUGAGCUUUCUAAGCUGCCUAUCGUUCAUUGUAAAAUGAGCGAUGGAACAGACUUUGAAAUUGACUUACAACAGGUUCAAGCAGCUGUCCAAGGGGGGAAAGUUUCUAUCGAACAGGUUAGAAAAUUGGAGUCCUUCAAAAGAAUGGAUAAUGCAAUUAAUGACACUUUUAUAUUCUUGAUCUGAUGAUUAGUUCUUUAGUCCUACCUACAAAGUUGAGACUAAAGUGGUGUAUUGGGCCGCAGCGAAAGAUUUCCUGGCAACUGUUUAACAAAAACACAGCUCUCUGCGAAGACGUAAGUCCAUGUAUAGAGGGUGACGCCUGACCAAUGCCGGAAGGUUAAGUACGGGGGGUGAAAUGGAGCAAUCUGUUUUGCUGGACUGUAUAAGCCCCGGUCAAUGUCAGCGAUAACUAUAAUCGUUCUAAGGUAGCGCAAUUCCUUGUCGGGUAAGUGAACUGCCCGAUUCAACAGCAAUGUUGUCUUACUAUCACGCUUUAGAAACGAUGUUAAACAGAUAAUGAUAGAAUGUUCGGCUUAUAACGGUGAAACCCCACCCGGGUGCUCUCUUUCAAGGAGAGAGCGAUACACGGAGGGCAAUACCGUGGGAAGUCGUCUAACGUAUAACGUUAGAUUGACCCCGUAACGACUGAUGUCACUACCGUACAGUGGUGACUGAGAUAGUGAAAUGAUACGAUAGUAUCAUGGUAUCUAUCACACGCCGACGCUCAACAAAAAGAAACGUGUACGAGUAUAUUUCAGGGUAUGUCGAUGGAGAAGGUUGUUUCAGUAUUUCAUUUUUGAAACGGAAGAAGUUGCUUGUUGGCAUUGAAACCAGAGCAAGUUUUUCUGUCAGUCAGAAUGAAGACAGAUCAGAAGUCCUCUUUCUUAUGCAGAAGCACUUCGAGUGUGGACACAUACGAAGAGAUUACUCUGAUAAAACACUGAAAUAUGAAGUGCGUAAAUUUGAGGAUCUUCUCACAAAGAUCAUUCCUCAUUUUUAUGCCUACCCACUCCUUUCCGGAAAGCAAAAAGACUUUUUGCGUUUUGCAAGAGUUUGCACGCUUAUGGAAAAAAGACAACACCAUACCAAAUCUGGAUUACGCACCAUCGUGCAGUGUGCGACCAAAAUGAAUCCAAGUGGCAAACGGAAAUAUACGCAAGCUGAAUUGCUUGCAUUGUUGAGAUGAAGAUAUAGUCUACGCCCUUAGUAAUAAGGGAAACACAGACAGUAAUACGUAUGUAGUACUGACGAACGUGAAGUUCCGACGUGCACGAAAGGCGUAAUGACUGGGAAACUGUCUCAAGGACCUGCUCGGUGAAAAUACAAUGGGGGUGAAGAUGCCCCCUACCUGCAGUUAGACGAAAAGACCCCAGGAGCUUUACUGUAGCUUCGUAUUGGGACUGUUGAAUUAAUGCGUAGUAUAGGAGGGAGACUUUGAAGCGGGCUUUCGGGUACCGUGGAGUCGUCAGUGAAAUACCUUUCUUUAUUUUGGCAGUUUCUAACCAGAUAGGCAAAACCUAUUUGAGACAGUGCGUGGCAGGCAGUUUUAGUGGGGCGCUACCCU